rnacentral:rRNA from 1 species
ACUAAGCGUACACGGUGGAUGCCCUGGCAGUCAGAGGCGAUGAAGGACGUGCUAAUCUGCGAUAAGCGUCGGUAAGGUGAUAUGAACCGUUAUAACCGGCGAUUUCCGAAUGGGGAAACCCAGUGUGAUUCGUCACACUAUCAUUAACUGAAUCCAUAGGUUAAUGAGGCGAACCGGGGGAACUGAAACAUCUAAGUACCCCGAGGAAAAGAAAUCAACCGAGAUUCCCCCAGUAGCGGCGAGCGAACGGGGAGCAGCCCAGAGCCUGAAUCAGUGUGUGUGUUAGUGGAAGCGUCUGGAAAGGCGCGCGAUACAGGGUGACAGCCCCGUACACAAAAAUGCACAUACUGUGAGCUCGAUGAGUAGGGCGGGACACGUGGUAUCCUGUCUGAAUAUGGGGGGACCAUCCUCCAAGGCUAAAUACUCCUGACUGACCGAUAGUGAACCAGUACCGUGAGGGAAAGGCGAAAAGAACCCCGGCGAGGGGAGUGAAAAAGAACCUGAAACCGUGUACGUACAAGCAGUGGGAGCCUCUUAAUGGGGUGACUGCGUACCUUUUGUAUAAUGGGUCAGCGACUUAUAUUCUGUAGCAAGGUUAACCGAAUAGGGGAGCCGAAGGGAAACCGAGUCUUAACUGGGCGUUAAGUUGCAGGGUAUAGACCCGAAACCCGGUGAUCUAGCCAUGGGCAGGUUGAAGGUUGGGUAACACUAACUGGAGGACCGAACCGACUAAUGUUGAAAAAUUAGCGGAUGACUUGUGGCUGGGGGUGAAAGGCCAAUCAAACCGGGAGAUAGCUGGUUCUCCCCGAAAGCUAUUUAGGUAGCGCCUCGUGAAUUCAUCUCCGGGGGUAGAGCACUGUUUCGGCAAGGGGGUCAUCCCGACUUACCAACCCGAUGCAAACUGCGAAUACCGGAGAAUGUUAUCACGGGAGACACACGGCGGGUGCUAACGUCCGUCGUGAAGAGGGAAACAACCCAGACCGCCAGCUAAGGUCCCAAAGUCAUGGUUAAGUGGGAAACGAUGUGGGAAGGCCCAGACAGCCAGGAUGUUGGCUUAGAAGCAGCCAUCAUUUAAAGAAAGCGUAAUAGCUCACUGGUCGAGUCGGCCUGCGCGGAAGAUGUAACGGGGCUAAACCAUGCACCGAAGCUGCGGCAGCGACGCUUAUGCGUUGUUGGGUAGGGGAGCGUUCUGUAAGCCUGUGAAGGUGUACUGUGAGGUAUGCUGGAGGUAUCAGAAGUGCGAAUGCUGACAUAAGUAACGAUAAAGCGGGUGAAAAGCCCGCUCGCCGGAAGACCAAGGGUUCCUGUCCAACGUUAAUCGGGGCAGGGUGAGUCGACCCCUAAGGCGAGGCCGAAAGGCGUAGUCGAUGGGAAACAGGUUAAUAUUCCUGUACUUGGUGUUACUGCGAAGGGGGGACGGAGAAGGCUAUGUUGGCCGGGCGACGGUUGUCCCGGUUUAAGCGUGUAGGCUGGUUUUCCAGGCAAAUCCGGAAAAUCAAGGCUGAGGCGUGAUGACGAGGCACUACGGUGCUGAAGCAACAAAUGCCCUGCUUCCAGGAAAAGCCUCUAAGCAUCAGGUAACAUCAAAUCGUACCCCAAACCGACACAGGUGGUCAGGUAGAGAAUACCAAGGCGCUUGAGAGAACUCGGGUGAAGGAACUAGGCAAAAUGGUGCCGUAACUUCGGGAGAAGGCACGCUGAUAUGUAGGUGAAGCGACUUGCUCGUGGAGCUGAAAUCAGUCGAAGAUACCAGCUGGCUGCAACUGUUUAUUAAAAACACAGCACUGUGCAAACACGAAAGUGGACGUAUACGGUGUGACGCCUGCCCGGUGCCGGAAGGUUAAUUGAUGGGGUCAGCGCAAGCGAAGCUCUUGAUCGAAGCCCCGGUAAACGGCGGCCGUAACUAUAACGGUCCUAAGGUAGCGAAAUUCCUUGUCGGGUAAGUUCCGACCUGCACGAAUGGCGUAAUGAUGGCCAGGCUGUCUCCACCCGAGACUCAGUGAAAUUGAACUCGCUGUGAAGAUGCAGUGUACCCGCGGCAAGACGGAAAGACCCCGUGAACCUUUACUAUAGCUUGACACUGAACAUUGAGCCUUGAUGUGUAGGAUAGGUGGGAGGCUUUGAAGUGUGGACGCCAGUCUGCAUGGAGCCGGCCUUGAAAUACCACCCUUUAAUGUUUGAUGUUCUAACGUUGGCCCGUAAUCCGGGUUGCGGACAGUGUCUGGUGGGUAGUUUGACUGGGGCGGUCUCCUCCUAAAGAGUAACGGAGGAGCACGAAGGUUGGCUAAUCCUGGUCGGACAUCAGGAGGUUAGUGCAAUGGCAUAAGCCAGCUUGACUGCGAGCGUGACGGCGCGAGCAGGUGCGAAAGCAGGUCAUAGUGAUCCGGUGGUUCUGAAUGGAAGGGCCAUCGCUCAACGGAUAAAAGGUACUCCGGGGAUAACAGGCUGAUACCGCCCAAGAGUUCAUAUCGACGGCGGUGUUUGGCACCUCGAUGUCGGCUCAUCACAUCCUGGGGCUGAAGUAGGUCCCAAGGGUAUGGCUGUUCGCCAUUUAAAGUGGUACGCGAGCUGGGUUUAGAACGUCGUGAGACAGUUCGGUCCCUAUCUGCCGUGGGCGCUGGAGAACUGAGGGGGGCUGCUCCUAGUACGAGAGGACCGGAGUGGACGCAUCACUGGUGUUCGGGUUGUCAUGCCAAUGGCACUGCCCGGUAGCUAAAUGCGGAAGAGAUAAGUGCUGAAAGCAUCUAAGCACGAAACUUGCCCCGAGAUGAGUUCUCCCUGACCCUUUAAGGGUCCUGAAGGAACGUUGAAGACGACGACGUUGAUAGGCCGGGUGUGUAAGCGCAGCGAUGCGUUGAGCUAACCGGUACUAAUGAACCGUGAGGCUUAACC